CACGUAGUUAGCCGGCGCUUCUUCUGCAGGUACCGUCACUUACGCUUCUUCCCUGCUGAAAGAGGUUUACAACCCGAAGGCCUUCAUCCCUCACGCGGCGUCGCUGCAUCGGGCUUGCGCCCAUUGUGCAAUAUUCCCCACUGCUGCCUCCCGUAGGAGUCUGGGCCGUGUCUCAGUCCCAGUGUGGCCGGUCGCCCUCUCAGGCCGGCUACCCGUCGUCGCCUUGGUAGGCCAUCACCCCACCAACAAGCUGAUAGGCCGCGAGCCCAUCCCUGACCAAAAAAUCUUUCCAAACCCAUACCAUGCGGCAAGGUCUCAUAUCCGGUAUUAGCCACCGUUUCCAGCAGUUAUCCCAGAGUCAGGGGCAGGUUACUCACGUGUUACUCACCCGUUCGCCACUGAUCACCAGAGCAAGCCCUGGAUCACCGUUCGACUUGCAUGUGUUAAGCACGCCGCCAGCGUUCGUCCUGAGCCAGGAUCAAACUCU
rnacentral:rRNA from 1 species